GGCGAGCCGCAGCACAUAGCAGACAGCAGAGCAAGAGGCCAAGAGCAAAGGACAGAGACAGUGCAGCAUUGAGCUCUGUUCGUUGGAGGCGUGGAGCUCUAUUCUAAUCUUGAAGGCAAGAUGAGUAAAAGAAACAAGACAUUGAAUUCAUUUUUUCAAGUUCGAACCACAGAAACUGCAGAAACAGGUCCUUCAACUCGAACAACUGAUAAUGCCCCU